rnacentral:rRNA from 1 species
UACAGAGGGUGCAAGCGUUAAUCGGAAUUACUGGGCGUAAAGCGUGCGUAGACGGUUGCGUAAGUCAGAUGUGAAAGCCCCGGGCUCAACCUGGGAAUUGCAUUUGAGACUGCGUAGCUAGGGUGCGGAAGAGGGAAGCGGAAUUUCCGGGUGUAGCGGUGAAAUGCGUAGAUAUCGGAAGGAACACCAGUGGCGAAAGCGGCUUCCUGGUCCAGCACCGACGUCAGGCACGAAAGCGUGGGGAGCAAACAGG